UUCACAUUCACAUUCAUGGGUGUACUCGGCAGGUCACAAUGAUCUGCAACUGAAACAUAAAACUUUUCUCAUGCAAAACUGAAAAUUGUACGGGCCCACAUGAUUUGGAUGGUCUUGAUACGCUCGUUGCCUGCAGAAUGCGCUCCCUCCUACCAAUAGAAUACAUACACCUAUUACAUUAGCACCUUCAUCUCCAUUAGCUUUUGCCGAUUUCUCACCUCUGUUCCCUAUGUGGGGUUGUUGUAGCUGCUGCAGAACUCGAUUUCUAAGCUGCUUCCGAGCCUAUCUCACACCUCGUCUUGCCAAUUGUAGCGCUCACUGGGUCUCCUUCCUUUCGUUUUAUAGACAAGGAAAAGAGCAUGAGCUCUUCUUUCUCUUCUUUUGCCCAUUCUAGUAGAAGUGGAAGAGGGUUGGAGAUGGAAAACGAUAGAGAAAGAUCAAGGGGCCGUGGUGGUACAGGAGGCAAGGAUAAAAUUGAUGCUCUUGGGAGACUCUUGACACGCAUUUUGCGCCAUAUGGCUUCUGAAUUAAACUUGAAUAUGCGGAGUGAUGGGUGUGUCAAAGUUCAAGAUUUACUAAAGUUGAAUAUGAAAACAUUUGCCAAUAUUCCAUUAAGGUCACACACAGUUGAUGACAUUAAGGAGGCUGUUAGAAAGGAUAAUAAGCAGCGAUUCAGCCUUUUGGAGGAAAAUGGGGAGCUCCUAAUACGUGCAAACCAAGGCCAUACAGUAAAGGUGAUAAAUCCUCUUGUUAUAAAAUGAAAUAUAUAUUCUGUUAUUUGGUUGGACUUUUCAAAGUAUUAUCCUAGUGAUAAAAUUUUUGGAAUUUGUUAUGCUUGGACAUUCAUAAGUAUGUGCUAAGUAACAUAUUUCAUUAUAAUGAUAUAACAAAUUUGAUUAAUGAGUUUUUGAUACCUUCAGGCCUUGAUUGAUUGCUUGGAGCGUUGAGAGCAAAUCUAAUUAGAUUAGUUUGAAUGUAGAUAUGUGUAGACUUUCUCAAGCUAUAGAUUGAUGCCAAGAGAAUUUGACACUGUUGAUUAUGCUUUAAUUUUAAUUUGUUAUAUUAAUUUGAACAAAAUGCUGGGUUGGCUGGUAAACAUCAACAUGAAUUAUUUUUCUUGUUCUUGUGAUUUUGUUAAGAAAGGGAUGCUUUUUCUUUACCUCAUAUUUCACCAUCUUGGGGGGAUAUUUUUUGUGCUCUAAAUUUUGUGUUUGUAUUGCAUCCACGUGAUUUCCACCCCAUAAAAAGAGAGUAAAAUGCCAUACUUUUUGCAUUGAACAUCUGUUUGAAUGGUUUCUUAUGAAUGUGCAGACAGUUGAAUCUGAGAGCUUAUUAAAAGCAAUCCUUUCAGCUGAGGAAGUUCCGGGUGAAAAUAUAUGUUAUGCAAUACCUUUGUCCUUCCAAAUAAUAUUUUUCCUUUUUCCCUUCUUUUAUGUCUUAUAUAUUAGGUUAUUGUAAUGUGUACUGCUCUUCUUUUCCUGUGAUUGUAGUGUGUGUACAUGGAACCUAUAAGAGGAAUAUGGAAUCUAUAUUAAAGUCUGGCUUAAAGCGCAUGCAAAGAAUGCAUGUUCACUUUGCAUCUGGCUUGCCAACUGAUGGUGAAGUGAUUAGCGGUAUGAGGAGGGAUGUUAAUGUUUUGAUACAUCUUGAUGUCAAAAAAGCUCUGGAAGAGGGAAUGAAGCUUUACAUAUCUGAUAAUGGGGUGAUCUUGACUGAAGGUUUUGAUGGUGUGGUGCCUGUAAAGUACUUCAAAAAGAUUGAAUCAUGGCCAGAUGGACAACUAAUACCUUUUCAAACACAAAUUUGAUGAUGAGUGGCCCUUUCUUUCGUGACAUGCUAGCUUGGCGUGUAUGCAGUUUAGCCUGAAUGAUUAGAAAAACAAAAAGAAAAAGAAAAAGAAUAAGCAGCAUCACAAUCACUCUCCAACUACAAGCAUCAUACUAAAAGACAUGGUUGAACAACAAGAUUUUGAGGAAAGUAACGACUCGAGUACCAAAGUGUCGGCCCACAACAUCCACAGGGACCAUUACAGUUAAUGCCUCAAAUUUGCAGCAAUAACAACAUGAAUCUCAAUAGAUGGAAAGCUAUUUGAUACAUCAAGCUCAGAAUAUAUCAUCCUUUAGUGACCCCACUCAACACUUCUCCAUAUCAACCAUAAUUGAGUCCACAUGACACCUUGACACAAAAAAAGCCAACUAAAUGCAAAUAGAACUCCCCAUCAAAGCACUUAUACAACUCAGAAGCACUUCCUGUGGACAAUGGAUGGACCAGACUCAUCGUAUUCACCCUUGGAAAUCCACAUCUGCUGGAAGGUGCUGAGGGAUGCAAGGAUAGAUCCUCCAAUCCAGACACUGUACUUUCUCUCUGGUGGUGCCACCACCUUAAUCUUCAUACUGCUUGGAGCAAGGGCAGUGAUCUCCUUACUCAUACGGUCUGCAAUGCCAGGGAACAUAGUGGAACCACCACUGAGCACAAUGUUACCAUAAAGGUCCUUCCUGAUAUCCACAUCACACUUCAUGAUGGAGUUGUAAGUAGUCUCAUGGAUUCCUGCAGCUUCCAUUCCAAUGAGUGAUGGCUGAAACAGGACUUCUGGGCAACGGAAUCUUUCAGCUCCAAUGGUGAUGACCUGGCCAUCAGGAAGUUCAUAGUUCUUCUCAACUGAGGAGCUGCUCUUGGCAGUUUCAAGUUCCUGCUCAUAGUCAAGGGCAACAUAUGCAAGUUUCUCCUUCAUGUCACGGACAAUUUCCCGUUCGGCAGUGGUGGUGAACAUAUACCCUCUCUCAGUGAGAAUCUUCAUCAAAGCAUCAGUAAGAUCACGACCAGCAAGGUCCAGACGGAGUAUGGCAUGUGGAAGAGCAUACCCUUCAUAGAUUGGGACAGUGUGACUCACACCAUCACCAGAAUCCAGCACAAUACCAGUUGUACGACCACUAGCAUACAAGGAAAGAACGGCCUGGAUGGCAACAUACAUUGCAGGCACAUUAAACGUCUCAAACAUGAUUUGAGUCAUCUUCUCUCUGUUUGCCUUAGGAUUGAGAGGAGCCUCUGUGAGAAGCACUGGAUGCUCCUCAGGGGCAACACGGAGUUCAUUGUAGAAAGUAUGAUGCCAGAUCUUUUCCAUAUCAUCCCAGUUGCUGACAAUACCAUGCUCAAUUGGGUAUUUCAAAGUCAAAAUACCACGCUUGGACUGAGCCUCAUCACCAACAUAUGCAUCUUUCUGGCCCAUGCCAACCAUCACACCAGUGUGACGAGGACGACCAACAAUGCUAGGAAACACAGCUCGUGGAGCAUCAUCUCCCGCAAAUCCAGCCUUCACCAUUCCUGUUCCAUUGUCACAAACUAGGGGUUGAAUAUCUUCACCAUCGGCCAUCUUUUACUGCCUGCAAAUACCAUUAUCUGAUCAAUCCAUAAAGUUCAUAAUUUUAAUAUAUCACUACAAGAUCAGCAAGUCAUUUUCUCUCGUAAUGUUCACUCAUGGCACAUUAACAUUAUAUUAUUGAGGUCAGUAAUCUGAUUAGUUAAUUGAGAAAUCAAGCACCAGAAAGCUUGCCAUCACCUUAAAUAUGAAAUAUUACCCAAAAAAAAAAGAGAGAAUCCAUCGAAAUGGAAUCACAAGGACAUUGGCUAAUGCAAUUUUAUCUCCUACUUCUCUUUUACAUUGAAACAAUGUCCCAUCAACCAAUCCAAAAAUUGAAAGCAACCACAAAGAAAAGCAAAUAUCAGAUAUCAAAAUUAAAAAUUCCCCAAUAAAAUCAGAAUGAAGAAACAAAAGGAACAAACUUCAAAACUUUCAACAAACUUCAAAACUUUCACAGGCAGAUCCAACUGCAGCUUAACAAAUCAAUGAUAGAGACGCCAAGAGAUUGAGAGAGUGAUUAAUUAGAUAUUAACAGAGAAAAGGGACCUUAAUUAGAAGAAGAAGAAGAAGAACAAGAGAGUAUAAGAGAGAAAGCAC
rnacentral:misc_RNA from 1 species